CGGGGCCGGGGCCGGGCCGCGGUGGGCGCUGCUGGCGGCGCGGACCUGAGGCCCGGAGGGCUUCCGGAAGGGCUGCUCAGCAAAGGCGGCUCCGCUGGGCACCCGGAGUCGUUUGCCUUGAGCGGAUCUCAGGGCGAGCUGAUCCAGUCAAAUGUGAGGACCUGCAAAGUGGAGGACAAAGCCUGACUGAAGGUGGGUUUCGAGAAUACGUUUCAUCUCACCUCUGCCAUGGCUCAAACCUUCACUGUGAGUAAGUGGCACAUCUAUUUGCAGCAGAGGAGCACUGUGCCUGCCAGCCCUAUGUCUCUAGAAAUAAAUCAAUGGAAAAUAUAUCCUCAGGUGAGAAUAGAGAAAAAAGAAGAAGCAGGCUGCCAUGCUGUGAACUGCUUAUGGAGAGGGCCAAAUGGCAGCAAAUUGCAAGUGAACUCUUAAGAGUUGACCGUGGCCUCCCAUCAACAGCCAACAAAAAUCUGAAGCUCUCAGUCCUACAGCUGCAACAAAAUGAAUUCUGCUAACAACUUGAGUGAGCUUAGAAACAGAUCGUUCUCCAGUCUAGCGUCCCGAUAUGAACCCAGCCCUAGCUACCUUGCUUGUAACCUGGUGAAACUCUGAAGCAGAGAUCCAGCUAAGACAUGCCUGACUCCACAGAAACUGUGAGAUAAUAAAUGUAUGU